AUGUAGAAGCUUGAUUUGGAUAGAUAAAGAACUGGAGAAUCAGCAGGACGUUGAAUAAGUCUCAUAGGAGUUAGGAUGAAGAAGCUAUCCCACUUUCAAAUCAGGAGAUCCCAGUUUUUCUGUUUGGGAAUAUGACAACUUCUUCGUCAUUCUUAUCAAACCAAGAUGAACCGCGAUGUAAGAAGCCUGAUUUGGAUACAUAAAGUAGUGGAGAAUCACUAGGAAGUUGAAUAAAUCUCAUAGGAUUAGGAUGAAGAAGCUAUCCAACUUUCAAAUCAGGUGAUCCCAGUUUUCCUGUUUGGGAAUAUGACAACUUCUUCGUCAUUCUUAUCAAACCAGGAUGAACCGUGAUGUAAGAAGCUUGAUUUGGAUAGAUAAAGUACUGGAGAAUCAGCAGAACGUUGAAUAAAUCUCAUAGGAGUUAGGAUGAAGAAGCUAUCCCACUUUCAAAUCAGAUGAUCCCAGUUUUUCUGUUUGGGAAUAUGAAAACUUCUUCGUCAUUCUUAUCAAACCAGGAUAAACCGUGAUGUAAGAAGCUUGAUUUGGAUACACAAAGUAGUGGAGAAUCACCAUGAAGCGGAAGUUAGAAGCUUGAUUUGGAUAGAUAAAGAACUGGAGAAUCAGCAGGACGUUGAAUAAAUCUCAUAGGAGUUAGGAUGAAGAAGCUAUCCCACUUUCAAAUCAGGUGAUCCUAGUUUUCCUGUUUGGGAAUAUGACAACUUCUUCGUCACUCUUAUCAAACAAGGAUGAACCGCGAUAUAAGAAGCUUGAUAUGGAUACAUAAAGUAGUGGAGAAUCACCAGGAAGUCGAAUAAAUCUCAUAGGAGUUAGGAUGAAGAAGCUAUCCACU
rnacentral:lncRNA from 1 species